UACGUAGGCAGCAAGCGUUGUUCGGAGUUACUGGGCGUAAAGGGUGUGUAGGCGGUUGUUUAAGUUUGGUGUGAAAUCUCCCGGCUCAACUGGGAGGGUGCGCCGAAUACUGAAUGACUUCGAGUGCGGGAGAGGAAAGUGGAAUUCCUGGUGUAGCGGUGAAAUGCGCAGAUAUCAGGAAGAACACCCGUGGCUAAGGCGGCUCUCUAGUACGGUACUGACGCUGAGACGCGAAAGCGUGGGGAGCAAACAGG
rnacentral:rRNA from 1 species